AAUGGGGGAAACCCUGAUCCAGCAAUGCCGCGUGAGUGAUGAAGGCCUUAGGGUUGUAAAGCUCUUUUACCCGAGAUGAUAAUGACAGUAUCGGGAGAAUAAGCUCCGGCUAACUCCGUGCCAGCAGCCACGGUAAUACGGAGGGAGCUAGCGUUGUUCGGAAUUACUGGGCGUAAAGCGCACGUAGGCGGCGAUCUAAGUCAGAGGUGAAAGCCUGGAGCUCAACUCCAGAACUGCCUUUGAGACUGGAUUGCUAGAAUCCGGGAGAGGUGAGUGGAAUUCCGAGUGUAGAGGUGAAAUUCGUAGAUAUUCGGAAGAACACCAGUGGCGAAGGCGGCUCACUGGACCGGCAUUGACGCUGAGGUGCGAAAGCGUGGGGAGCAAA
rnacentral:rRNA from 1 species